rnacentral:rRNA from 1 species
UAUCUCUGUAGAGUCUGCAUAUCAAUAAGCGGAGGAAAAGAAACUAACAAGGAUUCCCUUAGUAACGGCGAGUGAAGCGGGAAGAGCUCAAAUUUGAAAUCUUCAAGGUUUGACCUUGACGAAUUGUAGUUUAAAGAAGUGUUUUCGGUUAGAGGAGUAGUAAAAGUUCUUUGGAAUAGGACAUCAUAGAGGGUGAGAAUCCCGUAUUUGACUAUUCUUUCUAGCUUUGUGAUACACUUUCAAAGAGUCGGAUUGUUUGGGAAUGCAGUCCAAAAUGGGUGGUAAAUUUCAUCUAAAGCUAAAUAUUGGCGAGAGACCGAUAGCGAACAAGUACCGUGAGGGAAAGAUGAAAAGAACUUUGAAAAGAGAGUUAAACAGUACGUGAAAUUGUCAAAAGGGAAGCGUUUGACACCAGUGUUGUUUUUCCGAAAAUCAAUUACGAAUGGCUUGAUUCUGUGUUGUAUUGACCUUAUCAGCUUUCUUCACUUUUUUCAAGUCUUUCUUAAUGCACUUUUCGGUUAACAAGUCAACAUCAAUUUCUUUUGUUGUAAAAGAGUAUUCGGAAGGUGGCUUUCUUUUCGGAGAAAGUGUUUAUAGCCCUAUACUUCUACAAUCGGAGAGAUUGAGGUCUGCAGCGUAGAUCCUUCGGGGUUAGAUACACUUGUGCUAAGUUGUAGCUUUUCAUAGACAACUUGUUGACUAUGUUUAGUCAUGCGGCUUACUCGCUUGUGCUAUUUUACCUACGCUUAGGAUGUUGAGCGCAUGUCUCUCUCU